rnacentral:rRNA from 1 species
AUUGAACGCUGGCGGCAGGCCUAACACAUGCAAGUCGAGCGGAUGAAGGGAGCUUGCUCCUGGAUUCAGCGGCGGACGGGUGAGUAAUGCCUAGGAAUCUGCCUGGUAGUGGGGGAUAACGUCCGGAAACGGGCGCUAAUACCGCAUACGUCCUGAGGGAGAAAGUGGGGGAUCUUCGGACCUCACGCUAUCAGAUGAGCCUAGGUCGGAUUAGCUAGUUGGUGGGGUAAAGGCCUACCAAGGCGACGAUCCGUAACUGGUCUGAGAGGAUGAUCAGUCACACUGGAACUGAGACACGGUCCAGACUCCUACGGGAGGCAGCAGUGGGGAAUAUUGGACAAUGGGCGAAAGCCUGAUCCAGCCAUGCCGCGUGUGUGAAGAAGGUCUUCGGAUUGUAAAGCCCUUUAAGUUGGGAGGAAGGGCAGUAAGUUAAUACCUUGCUGUUUUGACGUUACCAACAGAAUAAGCACCGGCUAACUUCGUG